UUCCCAGUAACUCCUAUCCCUAACUCCUCGUGACACCAGCCGGGCUGAUCGGAUAAUCAACCCUGGUAGGUCGUAGGCUGACAGGGAAGG
rnacentral:ribozyme from 1 species